rnacentral:rRNA from 1 species
UACGUAGGGUGCGAGCGUUGUCCGGAAUUAUUGGGCGUAAAGAGCUCGUAGGCGGUUUGUUGCGUCGGCCGUGAAAACCUGCAGCUUAACUGUGGGCCUGCGGUCGAUACGGGCAGACUUGAGUUCGGUAGGGGAGACUGGAAUUCCUGGUGUAGCGGUGAAAUGCGCAGAUAUCAGGAGGAACACCAAUGGCGAAGGCAGCUCACUGGGACGGUAUUGACGCUGAGACGCGAAAGCGUGGGGAGCAAACAGG